GGGGGCGUAAAGGUUUCGACGGGGAUUUUGAGACGUGAUAAGCGGGUAGAGGUUGGGGAACCUCUUUAAUCAUCCCCGACUUAAAUUAAACGCUAACAACAGCGAACUCGCAGCUGCAUAAGCUGCCGCGGCUUUAAGCCGCCUCGUCCGCGCAGAGAGGGCUGCGGCUCGGCGUGGGCGUCAAAUCAGCAGCGAACGUGAACCGUGAUUUUGCUUUUGUAACGGUCAUGCAUUAAAAAGCUACCGCGAAGCACAGCCUGCGUAUCGGCGGUGCUUGCGGGAAUUACAAAAGACACGCUGCACCCGGAGAAAGUCACGUCAAGAGGUUUUCGGACAGGGGUUCGAUUCCCCUCGCCUCCACCA
rnacentral:tmRNA from 1 species